UUUGAUACCCUAUUUUGAAGAUAUUUAUUAAUACCUAAUUAUUAUUAGUUAUAUUUUUAAAAUUUAAAAAAUAAGGCGGUAUUUUAGACUUUUCAGAGGAACCUGUUUUUUAAUUGAUAAUCCACGAUCAAAUUAAAUUAAAUUAGAAAUUUAUAUAUCGUUGUAAUAAAUAUUUUUUAAAAAUUUAAUAUUUAUAAUAUUUUUAAUAUAAUAAUUCAAAUCAAGAUGUAGUUAAUAUUUAAGAUUUAAUGGGUUACAAUAAUUUAAAUUUUUAGUUUAUGAAUUUUGAAUUUAUAAUAAAUUGGAUUUGAAAGUAA
rnacentral:rRNA from 1 species